CUCUCCACUCCUUCCUCCACUCCCUCACAACCUUAUCCUCCACCCCACCCACGAAAAUGCUGCUCCCCUAGCUUCCAUGGCCGGCCAUGGCCAUGGAAAUCCCCCAAGAUGAAGCUCUCCUCCUCGCUCAAGCUCAUCCUCACCAUGAGAGCAUCUCUCUCUCUCUUUUCCCCUAACCCUAGCUGAUUUCCUCACCUCUUAUUCUUCCUCCAUUGCUAAGAUUGGAUCUUGAUGCAGGUGCAUGUUGGUCCAAGCAUGGAGAAUCUUGAGCUAUCCUCAGAUCUGAAGUUCAUGAGCAAAGUACAAAUCGAGUGAUUCAAAGUUCCACAGAUAGAUAUUGAAAAGAUCUACAACUUGGCGUUGGUCUCAUCCUCAAAUUCAUUACGGAUAUUCCACGAUCAAUAUCUGGUCAGAUCUGACUUUGUCGAAUUAAACCAGGAGCUUGGAAACGAGUUUCUGGAUGAAACCAGUUGGAUGCGAACAAUUCCGGAGAAGAAGAAGAAGUGGAAUCGGAUGAGAAGAUUAUUUAUAUUGUUGGAAUUCUUAUAUUGAUGGAGUUGAAGAAGUACAUGGACAAAUAAGCCAAGGCAAGCCAUCUUUUGAUCUCUGAUUCGGUGUCUAGUUGGAUGUCAUUUGUUGAUAUCCAAAGCACCUUGAUUCUAUGUGUGUUGUUCUCUUUAUUAUUGUCAUCUAUGUAUGGUUGCUAGUGGGGUACUCCCUAGUGGUGAUACUCCACUAUUGUCUUUAUGAUUAUGGGAUGCAUGGUAUCAUGGCCGUGCUAUUCCUCUUGGUUAUCUUGUAUGCUCGACUUGAGCAUGUUCCAUCUCAAGAUAAUGACUUACACCACACCCACCACUUUUGUAGUAUAGAGGUAUCAAUGCCAUGAUCUUGGUGUAUUCUCAACUUGAGAGGAGUAUGCCGUGUACCCAUUGGAGAGUAUGUUUGAUAGUGUUACUCCACUAUCUAAGUUGUAUUUUUUUUAGCACCACAAAUCUGAAAGAAUAAUCCUCCUUAUGUUGUCCCUAUACAUGCUUAUCCUAAGUAUGUAUGAUCCCCUUAACACCUCAAUUAUCAUCCCCUUGUGGUAUGAUGGCUAGCAUCAUGUCAUUGUGACUCUUAGUUCCUUCAUAAAACUAUAGGUUGGGAACCCCCUUGGAAAAAUACCUUGUUGAAAAGAAUUUUUGAAAACCUUGAGUGAGUUGGACUUACCCAAGCGUGUGUUUAUGAAAGGAAAGGAUCUUGGCAAAGAUGGUUGAAAAGAAAAUCUCGUUUUCGAAAACUUUGGCGCCUAAGUAUUCACCCGUGACAAUUAACCCGCGCAACCACAUUACCCUGGGGUGGGACGGGGCUUAGCUCGUAGUUUGUUCUUCUUAACAUGGGACACCGCACAACUAUAUAAGGGUAAGGUUACCCCUGAAUUCGGAUUGUCAUUGGUGGAGACAAUAGUAUAACGGGAGGCCUUCGGGGCUGACCCGUCCGGAAGACACUAUGGGUCUCCUGGCUUGGCGGUGGAGCCACGCUCAAAGUGAGGUGAGCUGCCACGGUGUCGGGGAGGUACAUACUCCAUAGGGUAGGAUCCCGUGCUAAGACGAAUAGGCGAAAGGCUAUGUCCGAGUUUUUGUCAUGGCAUAGUUGAUAUGCAGGGAUGAUGCCCACAUGAUAAACUCGCGGAUCUUGUGGGGAAAGUGUGCAAACUCUGCAGAGUCAAAUCUAUUCGAAUAGCCGUGUCCGCGGUCAUGGACGGUUGAAAUGGCUGUUGCUUAGCCUGAUGAGUUUUGUUUGAGAAAGUGUU